CUUAUGAAGAGCGGCGGAGGGACAGGCCCUGUGAAGCCCGGCAACCUUGCGGAACGCUUCCCGGCGGGAUGCGAAGGUGCCAAUUCCUACAGCUCGAGCGAGCUGAAAGAUGAGG
rnacentral:ncRNA from 1 species